rnacentral:rRNA from 1 species
CCUACGGGUGGCAGCAGUGAGGAAUAUUGGUCAAUGGACGAGAGUCUGAACCAGCCAAGUAGCGUGAAGGAUGACUGCCCUAUGGGUUGUAAACUUCUUUUAUAAAGGACUAACACGCCGCACGUGUGCCUCUUUGCAUGUACCUUAUGAAUAAGGAUCGGCUAACUCCGUGCCAGCAGCCGCGGUAAUACGGAGGAUCCGAGCGUUAUCCGGAUUUAUUGGGUUUAAAGGGAGCGUAGAUGGGAUGUUAAGCGUGAUGUGAAAGGUUGCGACUCAACCGGGAAAUUGCAGUGGGUACUGGCGUUCUUGAGUACACGUAAGGUAGGCGGAAUUCGUCGUGUAGCGGUGAAAUGCUUAGAUAUGACGAAGAACCCCGAUUGCGAAGGCAGCUUGCUAAAGUGUAACUGACGUUGAUGCUCGAAAGUGUGGGUAUCGAACAGGAUUAGAUACCCUUGUAGUC